UGAUAUUACCUUAUUAUUAGUGUCGUCCAAAACUGGUGCCAGAAGACUCGGUAAGGCCAGAGACACAAACGUUAAUCGUCUUAAUCAGGCGUAAAGGGUUUGUAGGCGGCUUUAAAAUUUACUUAUAUAAAUAAAAAGUAAAAAAUAAAAGCUAGAAUCAAAUAGAGGAUAUAUGAAAUAACGCUUAGAGUAGGUCUGAUAUCCUUAGAUACUAAGUAGAAUAUUAAAGGCGAAAGCUUUUUUCCAUUAAUGAUUGACGCUCAGAAACGAAGGUGAGGAUAGGAAAUAGGAUUUGAUACCCAGAAUACCCCUCUCUGUCAACGAUGAAUGGUAGUUAUUAGUAAAAAUUUAUUAAUGGCAAUGUUAACACGAUAACCAUUCCGCCUUGUGAGUACAACUGCNAAGUUGAAAACAAAAAAA
rnacentral:rRNA from 1 species